GUAUAUUUUUUCUUCCUUCUAGAACAUUCACUUGCUCAUUUCAGUGACUACAUUUUGAUCUUUGGUUUCUCCGCUACAUUUGUUUCUAUCACAGUGGCUUCUGCAAUUAGCAUAGAUUACUCAUUUCUCCAUCUGAUUUGUUUCUCAAUAUUCAUAGCUAAUUUAGAGAUUUUGUUGUCCUACAGUUAGGUUCUAGUAUUUGGGUAUUCUUCCUUUUUACUUAUUUUUGUUGCUUGUAGUUGUAAUUCUGUUUCUUGGAGCUUAAAUACCUUAGCUUAAUUAUUUGUUGAUCCUUUCUAGGUUCUGCUGUUUAAUCUUAAAAUCCCAAUAUUUUGUUGUUUUGCAAUUCCAAGAUUGUAACUUUAUUACUUCUUGAAGUGUUUGAGUUUGUGGGAAUUCUUACUUUUACUUGUUUUGUUACUUGUUAAUUGUAUUUAUGUUUUCUUGAUAAUUUGAUGUUUUUUAAGUGUAUUUUCCUUGCUAGUAAAAAGUUUUUAACACUACUUUUCUUUCUUAAAAAUUCCACCUUUUCUUGUUUUGCAAUUUCAAGGUUGCGAGUUUUUAUCAUCUUGAGUUGUUUGGGUCUGUGGGAAUUCCCCCUUUUCAUGUGUUUUUGUUACUUGUUACUUGUAAUUUUAGUUUCCUGAUAAUUUACUCUUGUUUCUUUUCCCUUUGUAAUGGUCUAGUUCUUUGUAUUUUACUCUUUCACUUCUUGGUAUAAUAAUAAAGUUCUUAACUUUACUUAUGUCCUUUUGAUUAAUUGAUUUUUGUGGAGCCUUGUUGUAAUUGGGUACUUGAUUCUACGAGAAUCUGUCAUGAAAAAUCUAUUCAAUCGCUACAGAAUUUGUCUGAAAAUCCCAUUGAUAAUGCGCUAGAAUUGAACUGCCACACUGGAAAAAUACCAAAAAAUUUCUUAUACAGUUCAACUUUUUCUUGUAAAAAUUGUAGAAAUUAGCUGCUCAUAUUUGCAGUUGAACUUGUCAGUUUCAUGCUGUCUAGUGACUGGUAUUGAGAUCUCUGGGAAUAGUAAUAUGCUUAAUGCUAUUUCCAGGGAAAGUUGCAAAAUGAGUUGUUGUAGUUUUCCUUAAGAUCCAUUUUUUUGGUAGGGCUCUCUUCAAAUAUAUUAGACCUGAUGUUCAGCAUUUAUAUGCUAUAAAUUAAGUUAGGCGUUGUAUAACUUGUAUUCGUCAUAAGUAAUAACCAUAAUGUUUCGUCUUUAAAGUACUGGUUAUGUCUCUGGCUAUACUACUUACUGCUUUGUGGCACAGCUUUUUACAAAUAGACAUGAGCAGAGUUUAUAAUCUUUGAUGAGUGCCACAAUGCACGAUGGGUUCAUCCCUAUGCUAGUAUAAAGAAGGGCAAUUUCUUCACCUGGACAUGUUACUCUGUCCAGCUUUGAAAAUAAUUAACCCAUUUGGUUUUUUCACAUAUCCAAGCCAAAUAUAAAGAGUUCAUUAUGAUGGAGUUCGGUAUGAAUUUUAUCAUCACCAGUUAAACAGUUAAACCGUGAGAGUGCACAACUUCCAAGAAUAUUUGGGAUUCCUGCUUCCCUAAUAAAGACUAAAGGUUCUAACACGGCAGAUAGUUAUUAGAAAGAUUCAUGACCUUGAGGAUAUUAUGAAUUCCAAGGUAUAAAUGUGUAGCAGUAAAUCUAUUCUGGCGGAGUACAUCUCAUUUUCAAAUCCAAAGAGCCACGUUUGAAGCUACUUUAGAUUGGCUAUGCUUGAAUUUGCUAGGAAAUGAGCUUCCUCUGAAGUUUUCAAGUGGUACUUUCCAAUUGAAUAAAGGUUCUAUUGGUAUUAUAUCAACUGCUUGAGAAGAUUGGGUUCCUUCAGUAGAUUCAUCAGUGGCAAAAGUCAAAGAUGAGAGAAUACCUAAAGUUUAAGUUGUGUCGAAGGGUUGAAGUGAUAGUUAAUCUCUACGUACAGUUGAACGUGCACAAGAUGAUUGGAUCCAUCAAUAUAUGGAACAAUAUGAAGAGAUACUUAAACAGUUCUGCUUCUUGCUUCUUGUUCGAUUGACAGGAGAGUUGUGCACUGGGAUCUUCAUUAACGUCUAUCACAGACGAUCCACUCUCAGGGCUGCUUCUUUUUGCAGGGGUAUUUGAAGCACAGUUUACUUUAUUCUCAGCUACAGAAUCUUAAAAUUUUAGUAAAAAGAAAUUUGUCAAAAUCAGGUUUCUUUAUGAACUUUAACAAAUGAGUAAUACAUCUUCAUAGAAGUGUGACAAAAUCACCAUUAAAUCAUCGUCUCUAGGUGCGAGUUGUUCAUGAUUGAAAUCUGGGUAUUGUGAAAGAAAAAUAAUAAUGUGAACAACAAUCUAUAUUCAAAGUCAGUUUAUUGUAACAUAAACCAAAAAAUUUCUAUUUUUCUGAAAGUAAUGUAUGUGAACAUAGAGUGCAUGUUUCUUCACUCAGAUGGGGACGAUAUUGUGUGAUGAGAUCCUUAUCAUCACUAAAUUUAAGAACAGUGUAAACUUCAUCAUAAUGCUCUAUAUUGUCUUUCUUGACGACCACUUUAAACAUGACCUCACUAUCCAAAAUGUUAUCCAACUCCAAUGGAUAUGAAGAUACAACAACAUUAAAAAAUAAAAUAGAUAUUAGAAAAGAUGAAACAAAUAUAUUUGUAGUACCCCAAAAAUCAAAACCAAUGUUAGCGCCAUGCAUAGUACAUUAUUGUUCUUUGAUAGUUUUAUGAGUUAGUUAGAGGUAUAUUAAGGCCCCAAAUAAUUUCCAUCUAUUAGACGAAUCAAAAUAAUUCUUACAAAUUAUAAUUUUGAUAAGAAUAUUGAUUUAGGGACUGUUUGGUUUUUUUCCAUAGCCCUAAAUCCAACCAAACACAGGGUUUAAGUCCCAAUAGAGCAUUAUUUACUCAUUACUUCACAAAUUACUCAAAUAAAAGUAGCCCUCUUUCAAUAACAAAAAUCCUAGCCUUCAAAAUUCAAGAUCAAAUCUUAAGAAUUCACCAUCAAUUCUCACGAAUUCAUCAAUCCAGGCAUGUUAAGUGUUCAUUCAUGGGUCCCUUUCACCCAUGGAAUCUAAGUAUCCAAAUUUAAAUUUAACGUUUUGAUCUUUACAAGUUACCAUGAUUUUAUAUUGUGAUUUUAAUCAUGAAUCUCCAUGAAUCUUUACUUCAUACCAUGCUUACAUAAAAUUGUUGUUUUUUAACAAACCCCAUACGUUUUAAUGUUGUUAUUCACUAUUUUAAAUCAUGAUUAAGUGUUAUUGAUAUCAAAAUCAUGCUAUUACUCAAAGUUUUAUACUAUUCCUAUGAUUAGAUUAAACUAUGAAUACAAAGUAUUUGAUGAAAUGCCUACUAGAGUGAAUUCUGAAUAAAUGCUUUCAUGUUAUGUCUCUAAAGUUUAAUCCUAUUUUACUAUUACUGCUAUCUAGUCCUGGGGCUACAAAUACCUGAAACUAUAGUUGUUUACUUAGUCUCAGUAUCUUUAGAAUUUUUUAAGAAUAUGUUAUGAGCAUUAUCAGUUCAGUCAGUUAUCAUAAUUGGAUAAUCUCAGAAUGGUUCAGUACUCCGAGUCAGUUCAGUUAGGAGUAGGAUUUAGCACCAAGCGAACCCAGGGAUGGGGGCUCACCUGCCAGUUGAGGGUGCGACCUUUAGCAGUAGUCCCUGUGUUUUAAAAUUAUGUAGCCAACGUAGGUUGAGAUGUUAACCUGUCAGUUGAGGGUUGAUAUCAUUAGGGGCCUGCCAGACGAUGGUGACCCUUAGCCAUGAUCACAGAUUGGACUCCAAAUUUCCUCAUUGGGGCAUGUCAGUUAGAUUAUAGCUCCCACAGUCUCAGUCCAAUCAUCAGUUCAGUGAUUUAGUUUUAGAUUUGCUUGACCAUAGUAUACUGAUAUCAAUUAUUCGAUUAUCAAUAUUCAGCAUUUCAAAUGUUAGAUUAUAUUCAGAAUAUAUAUUUUAUGCUUGGUUUUGCAUCUUCAGCACUUACAGUUUUUAUGUAUUUUAUUCAGUAUGUUAUGCUAUAUUUACUGAGUCAGUUAUUAUUCAUGCAUAUGAAACCAUGCAUAUCAACCUACAUUAUUUAGAAUACCAGUACAUUUAAAGUACUAAUCACAUACUCUUUUUUUGCGCUAUGAUGUAUCAUAUCAUAGGUUCGGACGCUCAUUCCUGGAUCGCACAUAGUCCUUCUAGAUUAUCAGCCAUAGCAGUGGUUCGGACACUCGAUUCUAAGAUCGUGCAUAGACCUUCAAGAUUACUCGAUUCUAGGAUCGUGCAUAGACCUUCAAGAUUAUCAUUCGUAGCAGUGUUAUCUUCAAAGACGUGUGACCAAUGACAACUGAUUUACAUAUGAGGUACUGGUUAUGUCUCCGGCUAUAAUACUUACUGCUUUGAGGCACAACUUUUUACAAAUAGACGUGCACAAAGUUUAUAAUCUUUGAUGAGUGCUGCAAUGCACUAUGGGUUCAUCCCUUUGCCAGUAUAAUGAGGGGCAAUUUCUUCACCUGGACAUAUUACUCUGUCCAUCUUCAAAAAUAAUUAACACAUUUGGUCAUCACAUAACCAAAGCAAAUAUGAAGAGGUCAUUAUGAUGGAGUUCGGUAUAUAAGAAUUUUAUCAUCACCAGUUAACCCAUGAGCGUGCACAACUUUCAAGAAUAUUUGGGAUGCCCGCUUCCCUAACAAAGACUAAAGGUUAACGGGAUUUGAUCUUAUAGCUUUGGGCAUCUUCUGAGAUGUUUCUACAUCAUACUAUUUAUAAACUGGUUAUCUUUUUAUGGAUUCUUAUGUUCAUACUUUUUAUGAAAAUUAUAGCUCAACAGAUAGUUAUUGGAAAGAUUCGUGACCUCGAGGUAUAAAUGUGUAGCAGUGAAUAUAUUCUGGCAGAGUACAUCUCAUUUUCAAAUCCACAGCUAAAGAUAUAUAAACAUGUGGAUAUUCCUUGCACGUUGUUUCCUAGUUUAGCUCGUGACAUGAAAAGGUUGAAAGAAAAGGUUCUAUUGGUAUUAUAUCAACUGCUCGAGAAGAUUGGGUUCCUUCCGCAGAUUCAUCAGUGGCUGAAGUCAAAGAUGAGAGAAUACCUAAAGUUUCAGUUACGCCGAAGGGUUAAAAUGAUAGUAAAUCUCUACAUACAGUUGAACAUGCACAAGCUGAUUGGAUCUGUCAAUACAUGGAACAACGGGAAGAGGAGUAUUUGAAGCAGAGUUCACUUCAUUCUCAGCUGAAGAAUCCUAAAAUUUCAAUAAAAUGAAAUUUGUCAAAAUCAGGCAUAUUUAUGAACUUUAACAAAUGAUUAAUAUAUCUUCAUAUAAGUGUCUAACGAAAUCACCAUUAAAUCAUUGUCUAUAGGUGCGAGUUGUUCAUGAUUGAAAUCUGGAUACUGUGAAAUAAAAAUAAUAAUAUCAACAACAAUUUAUAUUCAAAGUUA